GAGGGGGCGCGCGCUGGUGCUGCUCCCUGCGCCGCCCCAGUGGGGUGACCCCAAGCCGCCCCCUGGGUCCCUCCCAGGGCCGAGCUGAGCCGGACCGAACCGAACCGUGCCCCUCCCUCACCGCGGCCCCUCGCCCCGCUCUCCGCUCUCAGUUAGAAUAGUCUGGUGUAUGGAUUAUUUGCCUGCAUUUGGAGAAAGACUCUUGACUCCUAAAAGGUACAUUGUAAGAACUGCUAAAUAAUGAUGUAAUAGCUAGUGCAGUAAGUGCAGGUUGUUACUCAAGGUAAAUAAGGUCUGUACAACAGCUUGGAAAAACAUCUGCUGGCAGCCUUCCCGUAUUGGCUGAAAGUACUUCAGUACCUGAAAGCUUUUUUAUUUUUCCAUUUUGCAUGGAAGGAACUUCACGUCCAACCCGGUUAGAAUCUGUGAUCCCACAUCAGGAUUUGAACUUCAUGUCCAACCCGGUUAGAAUCUGUGAUCCCAGGUCAGGAUUUGAACUUCAUGUCCAACCCGGUUAGAAUCUGUGAUCCCACGUCAGGAUUUGAACUUCACAUCCAACCCAGUUAGAAUCUGUGAUCCCAUGUCAGGAUUUGAACUUCAUGUCCAACCUGGUUAGAAUCUGUGAUCCCAUGUCAGGAUUUGAACUUCACGUCCAACCCGGUUAGAAUCUGUGAUCCCACGUCAGGAUUUGAACUUCAUGUCCAACCAGGUUAGAAUCUGUGAUCCCACGUCAGGAUUUGAACUUCAUGUCCAACCCGGUUAGAAUCUGUGAUCCCAUGUCAGGAUUUGAACUUCACAUCCAACCCGGUUAGAAUCUGUGAUCCCAUGUCAGGAUUUGAACUUCACGUACAACCUGGUUAGAAUCUGUGAUCCCAUGUCAGGAUUUGAACUUCAUGUCCAACCUGGUUAGAAUCUGUGAUCCCAUGUCAGGAUUUGAACUUCACGUCCAACCCGGUUAGAAUCUGUGAUCCCACGUCAGGAUUUGAACUUCAUGUCCAACCCGGUUAGAAUCUGUGAUCCCAUGUCAGGAUUUGAACUUCUAACAAUUUUAACAUUCACUGAACAAUUCAAACCCUCCCAUGCAGAAUGCUUCAUUCUUGAAAUACUGUACUGUUCCUAAAGUUGCAUUGAGAUAGAAGCUGUUCACCUUUAGAUAACGAAACGCUUUAAAAACCAAACCUAACCAAACCCCGGAGAGGAGACAGCUCGGACUUGCAGAGACAAUCGCAGCUGACUGUUCUGGGAAUGAUCUUCAGAAUUACCUCAUUAUUUAUUCUUGGUGCAGUCCACCAAUUAAACAAACAGUUUAUAAAUAGCAGCGGGGCUGGGCUCAGCCUACUCUGUCAGGGUCAUUUUCCGAGCUGCGGACACUGAAGAUGUGCAGGCUCGUGUUACCCACACCACAGAUCCCCCGUGUGCAUGUGCAAACGCGGAUGUGUCACGUUACACGCUAUCGGCAAAGCUGAUAAAGAGUGAAGGAAAGUCAGAGAUUCCUGGUGGGUACCAGCUGAAAUUCUUCUAUUUGGGUAAUAAUGCAUGUGUUAUUCAAGCCACUAGAAAUAUGUCAGGGAUCCCAAAGAACCUGAUGGAGUUGAGAAAGAAAAAUGCAGUAGGUUUGAAUAUCAGUAACACUUUAUGGAAAAAAUUCAGAUAACUUAGUAUUUGAUCAUUCAAACCUUCUGUCAAGGAACUAUCAAAGCAAAAACUAAAAUCUUGAUCAUGACUUCUGUCAGCUAGUGAUGUGCAGUACAACGCUAAUAUUUAACAAGCCCCAUUUUACUGUAACAGGUAUACAAAGUAUAACACAGCAGAUUGAUUGCUGCGGUUGGAGCCUUGGUUGGGACACCUUUCCCCUCUGGAAGGCUGGCUGUCCAGGCUGCUCACGACCAAGGUUUGCAUGCGAGGUGGCUCAAACGUCUCCAGGUGUGGGUUGGGGUUUGGUGCGGACAGGACUCGUCCCGCAGGCUCUCUGGACUGGGGCUGUGAUCUGCACUUUCCCGCUCGGGGCACCUCUGCGUGAGGAGCGUCCCGCGGCUCCGACCAGCGCUCCCUACAGACCAAGAGCGUCCCGUUCUGUGAGCUGUACAGAAAGUGCAUUGUUCAGAAUGCACCUGUAACAAUUGAAACAAGCGGGGCCGGAAGGUUUAAAGGUUCUUUUUCUGUUACCAAAUACUUUGUGUCUUUGCCAUCACUCUGUACCAGAUGGAGCAUCCGGCCUUUCAAAUCCAUACAUGUUAGAACUUGAACUUUGAUUUAAAAAUAAGCAGACAAAAGCAACCCCAGUUUACAAGAGAUCUACCCAACAAUUACACGAGUAGCUUCACCAAACUUGCUGUUAGCAGUUCGGUCACUUUUAACUGAUAAACAUCAAGAAAGAUUCUUGAUGUUUAACUCUCCCCCCUCAUCUUGCACAUCAGGGACAUUAUUUUCAUGGUUUGAAGCUGAACUUAAAAUAAACUGGAAAUUAAAAAAAAAGAGAAGCAAGAAAUAUUAUUGACAAAUAUAUAUAUCAGUUAUGUCUUAUUCUUGACUAGGUUGCUAGCCAGCUGUGGAAGAGGAUAUUAGGAACAGUAUUUGAGAGAGGAAGUUUGGAAAGGGUAAGUAUAGAAAAAUGCGGAAAACCUUAGGAAAAAAGUGUAUGCAAUUGCAAAUUAAGAAAAAUCAGUGCAUAUAUUGCCAGUGAGUGUAUUUCCAAUGCAAGAAAGUAGCUCCCAGUUAGGUAGAUAUUAAGGACUUCCUAUGAAAAACAUAGAAGGGUUUAUGCUUAGUUUGAGGUAACUCUGCAUAUAUCUGAAGUUCUUGCUCUUACGUCAAGAAAGAGCGAGCACAUGAAAUAAGUUAUAAUUACAAAGUAUUACAAAAUCCUGGAGCAAUCGUUUUCAAACUUUCUGGUUUAUGAGCCUACUUGCAUUUCUUAAAACCACACAUUGUAGAAAACAGACCAACUGAAUACUAAUUCAGGCUCUCUUUGAGUAAGGAGAACUCCAUCCUACAGAAAACAGCCCUUAUGAAAGGGUCGUGAACCUCGCUAGCACCCAGCUUUGGGAGCCCGAAAUAAAAAUGGUCAGUAAGCCCACGUGACAAAUCCCUCAGUUACAUUCCUUUAUGCUGUUUGGCAAAUAAAUAAUGUAUGCAUUUAAUAAUUAUUUUUUGUCAGAUGUUUGCUUUUGGAUUCUUUUCUACAGUCAUAGAAUUGGAACUCUGGAUGACUAAGGAAAGCUUAAGAGACAAAAGUUUUUAGUUUUGAAAGUUAUUUGUGGUUGAACUUGGCAAAUGGGAAAGCUUUGCGUUCACAAAAAUCCUCACAUUUAAACCUUGGGACUUUAAGAGUCCAUUUUUUACAGUAUAGCUGUGUGUUUUAUAAGCAGUGUGGAUAUCUGGUCAACUGGUUUGCAUUAAAGUCUUGCAAGGAUGAAUAAAAGCGAUGAACACAGCUGGAACUAGAAGAGCCCUGCUCCAGGUGUUCACGCAGCACAAGCAGCUUGGUUGUGGUUGGGAAGCGCAGGCAGAGAACCCUGCGGGCAAAGGGACCGACUGCUCUGCGAGCACAGCUGGAACACCAAGGUCACCACCACCAGGAGCAGCACCCGCGUAACUACAGCACAGAACUGCAACAUCCUCUGCCAAGUGUAUUUCUUAAUGUAUAUUAACCUGCAUUUAUUCCUAAGAGAUUUUGGUUUUAUUGUUAUUUUAGAAGAAACUUUGUGCAAUCAAAGCCUAGGACAAACUGCAGGAACAAGCAGCUUACUAACUUAUUUCCCAACAGUUUAUAAAUGCCAUGGGUUUCACAUCUUCAGUGACUUUGAAAUGUGUGAGAAAGAACCUGAGACACUCCCAAGCUGAGGGCACUAUUUUUUUUAAUAUAAAAAAAUCCCAAAGUCAAAACAUCAAGCAAUGAGAAGACGACAUACAGAAUUUCAUCCCCGUGGGUGACAGAAGCUGACAAACACCAGAAGGCCACGGAAUGUCAGCGCUCCCCCAAACACCUUGUUGCGCCUCCAUCCAGGAGAACCUUUGGUUGGGUGUUUCAGGAGACAAGGCCCCUGCAGCUCUGUGCACUGCCUGUACCAGCCCCCCCAGGACACGCCACUGAUGUGCAACCCAAAGUCAAGCGCCAAAUCACCAAGAAACAAUAACAACGUACAGCAAUAUUACUGGUGGUCUAAUUAAAGAAAAAGCCAAACCCUGCAUUGAAAAAAAAAUAUCAAAAAACUUUACAGAAAUUC